CACUCGAAUGACAGAAGUCAGGGUGAAUGAAGUACCGGGGUGUCCGGAACUCGUGGCGGAGCUUGCCACGGGCACACCGUGCACACCAGCGAGAUGAGUCCUCCGACGGCUAGAGGAAACUCUAGGCGCGUGGGGGCGAGGGGCCGCCUCUCUAUGGUUGCGUGUGGGUGGAGCGCUCUCAAAGGCUGCCGGGACAGCGUGCCCGCGGUUCCAAUCUGUGGCGGGAGUUGCUCGAAUCCGUUCGUGGCUGACGGCGCAAGAAUGUCUCAGGACGACGAGGCGGAGGCAAACCGGGCCCUGCUGGAUAAUCUCAACAGUUGGUCGCGGGAGGUGUGCCGCCGGGAGCUGCCUUCGGUGCUACCCCGGCUCGUCUUUAUGUAUCAGCAUUCUGAGAGAUGGAUUGAACAUAUACGAAUUUUGAAAAUCAUUACUGAUAAUUUUUUGCCUCAUAUGAAUCACCUGACACUGGAACAGACUUUCUUUUCCCAAAUUUUACCAAAGACUGUGAAAUUAUUUGAUAGAAUGAUACGUGAAUUAACCACCGAAGCCAGAGAACUCUCAAGCCAAAAUUUAGAAAUCCAGGUCACUCUAAGGAAUAUUUUACAAACAAUGGUGCAGAUCUUAGAAGGCCUUACAGGAUGUGUUCAUCAUAUUUGUACCACACAGCAAUCCAUCAUUCUAGAAAAUAUUCAUAGUCUUCCCUCAUCCAUCCUGCAUAUAAUUAAAACGACAUUUGUACAUUGUAAGAAUAGUGAAUCUUUGUAUUCUGGACGCUUACACCUACUGUCAGACCUCCUCCAGUCUGUUUUCAGGGAGGCCUAUUCUCUCCAGAAGCGGCUGAUGGAACUGCUGGACAAGGUUUGCAUGGGCCCUUCAGUAGAUGAAAAUAACACUUUGUUGAUGGUAGAAGUUAUUCAUUCGCUAUUGGAUAUCUGCUCUGUGAUCUCGGGUAUGGACCAAGCAUUUCAUGCCAAUACAUGGAAAUUUAUAAUUAAGCAGAGCCUUAAACACCAGUCUGUUAUAAAGAGCCAAUUGAAACACAAAGAGAUAAUUUCUAACUUGUGUGAAGACAUUGUUUUCUCCUUCCAUUCUUGUUUGCAGUUAGUUGAACAGAUGGCACAGCCAGCUGCACAGGAUAAUGCUGACCACAGAAUAUUUCAGAAAACACUCAAAUUGUGUCGUUUCUUGGCUAACUCCCUUUUGCACUACAUUAAGGAAUUUCUUCCUUUCCUGUCUGAUUCUUGCUGUACUUUACACCAGCUUUAUCUUCAGAUAUACAGCAAGUUUCCUCCAAACCUGCAUGCUGCUAGGAUGUCCAAAGCACUGCAGGAGGAAAUAGCAGGCGCUUUCCUUGUGUUACUGGACCUACUCAUCAGACAGCUGCUCACAUCCCAGCCUUUUGUACAGGCAGUUUUGGAUAGUAAACUAGACCUGCCCUGUGAACUGCAGCUCCCACAAGUCCUGCUCCUGGUUGUUGUCAUGGAUAAGUUGUGCUCUCAGCCUAAAGAUGUACAGACCCUGUGGUGCACAGAAGCUAUGACUAGGAUGUCCCUGUUCAAAGCCAUUUUCUACAAUUUUGAGAGGUGUUCUGGUGAACUGUCUCUGACUGCUUGUUUACAGGGAGUAGAGGGUAAAGGGCAAGCCGAGGCGUCUGUUACUAUAUAUCAGCACGUCUGUGUUCAUCUGUGUGCAUUUGUUGCUUCUUUUCAUCCCUCACUGUUCCCUGAGCUGGAUGCUGCUCUACUGAAUGCAGUGCUUAGUACUAACAUGACCACCUCGCUGCUAGCGAUGGACGUGUGGUGUUUCCUUGCUCGAUAUGGAACUGCUGAACUCUGUGUGCACCAUGUCACCUUAGUGGCUCAUCUGAUAAAAUCCUGCCCUGGAGAGUGUAUCCAGCUUACCAACCUGUCAGUCCUGUUGAAGCGUCUCUUUUUCUUCAUGGCCCCACCCCAUCAGGUGGAAUUUAUCCAGAGAUUUUCUCCAGAAGAAGUAGACAACUUGCCUCUGUGGCAGUGUAUUUCCUUCCAGGCAUUAUCUGCUGAUCUUAGGAAACAAGCUGCAUGCGACGUGAUCAGAGUAUGCACAGUGCAGUGCAUGGACUGGUUGAGCAGCAGUCAUACUCUGGCAGAACUUGAUUCUCUGAACACAGCACUCUCUGCUUUGCUUACUGUAUGUAAUUCUGCUGGUGAUGCUUUUGAUAUUAGACAACAAACUACAGUUAUUGAAGUCGUGGGUCGGCUUUGGGCUUUUAUAAGCAUUCAACAAGUACUAAGUCAACCCUAUGUUCAACAAGCAUUGAGACUUUUACUUCAGCUACUGACAUUUUUCAUCCAAACUGUAGAUCCACAGCUGAUAAGUCAGGUAGUAACUUUACUGACCUCACUACUAAAAUUGGAGCCUCCCGACCAUGUCUGUCUGGCAGUGCUGGAUUUUGUAUCUUCUCUGAGCAGACUUUUUAUACCUUCGGCUAUCCAGGACAAGGUGCUGCCCAACCUGCCUUCUAUCUUUGCUUUACUGCUAACCAACAGGAAUUGGCUGCUAGAGCAACAUACUUUGGAGGCAUUUACUCAGUUUGCUGAGGUAACAAAUCAUGAAGAGCUAGUUCCACAGUGUCUCAGUUCUGAAGAUAUCAAGAACAAAGUUGUAGCCUUUCUGGAGAAGACAGGGUUUCUCUGUUGCUUUUGGAUCUUGUCCUGGAACUAGCUCUUGUAGACCAGGUCUGCCUCUGCCUCCUGAGUGCUGGGAUUAAAGGCAUGCGCCACCACUGCCUGGCUUAAGUGCCUGUGUAAGUAAUUGUUUUGCCAGCACCACACCCUGUACAGUAAGUUGAAUGUGUAACAUACUUAUUUUUCUUGGAGAGAUAAUACUUAAUUCUGGAGUGAAAAAUGUUCUAAGGCACUUAGAACACUCUGGUCCUUAACCUAAUAGUCAAAACCUUUGCAGCAUGGGGUCACAUAUCACAUAUCCUGCAUGUCAGAUAUUUAUAUUAUGACUAAUAUUUAUAUUAUGACUAAUAACAGUAGCAGAAUUACAGUCAACGAAGUAGCAGUGAAAUAGUCACCACAACAUGAGGUAUUACAGGGUCGCAGCAUUAAAAAGAUUGAGAACCACUGCUCUAAGGGGAUUGUAUUCAGAUUGCACUAAAGGUGAGUCUACCUAACCUAGAAUUUGCCUGGUCACAGGUCAAGCCAGAAUGGUUUAGUACUCAUCAUUUACAGACACAUACAUAAACUAGUUGGUUUCCUUUUCUAAAUCUCAUAUCCCUUGGUAUCUAGUAGAGAAUGCUAAUUUGUCAGUGAUUUUUGAUGAUCUUUGACAGACAGGAUUUGUAGAUGAAACUGAAGUUGCCAGAGUGGAUCAUGUGAAACAGAAAGUUGCUUUCUUGGAACCCACUAUAGAGGAAGCAGAUGGGUUGGCUUUACAGCCUUGUACAAAAAGAGCCCGGCAUGAGUUCCCCUUUGAAGAAGA